AGUGAACGCUGGCGGCGUGCCUAAUACAUGCAAGUCGAACGGACAAGUAAGAGCUUGCUCUUAUGAGUUAGUGGCGCACGGGUGAGUAAUGUAUAGCUAAUCUGCCCUACACUAGAGGACAACAGUUGGAAACGGCUGCUAAUACUCUAUACUCCUGUCUUACAUAAGUUAGAUAGGGAAAGUUUUUCGGUGUAGGAUGAGGCUAUAUUGUAUCAGCUAGUUGGUGAGGUAAUGGCUCACCAAGGCUAUGACGCAUAACUGGUCUGAGAGGAUGAUCAGUCACACUGGAACUGAGACACGGUCCAGACUCCUACGGGAGGCAGCAGUAGGGAAUAUUGCUCAAUGGGGGAAACCCUGAAGCAGCAACGCCGCGUGGAGGAUGACACUUUUCGGAGCGUAAACUCCUUUUGUUAGGGAAGAA
rnacentral:rRNA from 1 species